UUUUUAGAAGCUUCUUACGUAUACAUUUGAAACCAGGGUUAUCCAUAAAUAGAAAUGGCUUUUUCCGUGAUCAAAUAACUUCUUUAACUUGUAAUGUACGAGAGACUGUUUCAAAACGACACAAACAAAUAAUACGUUAAGUAUAGGUAUAUCGCAUGGUUAGUGCUUAUAUUAAUAUUACGACGGUUUAUAGUGUACGGUAAUCUGUGCUAUUAGCAAAGUACAGUGCUUCUUUUUUAAAAAAUUGUGACCGUUUAGACAAUCCUAUGGAAGGUACGUACUUUAGAUACUUAUUAAAUGUUAAAGAAACGUACUUAUAAAUUACGUUAUUUUGAAGUGCUUUCUAAAGUGCGAGUGUCAACAAACCUAUCUAUAGCGAGUAGAAAUAAGUUAAUCACGCAAUUACUUCUGAAAUUUGUAGAAAACUAUAAGUACUGAUGGCGAUCUCUUACUCAAUACAUUUCACAAAUAAAUCAUUUAUUAGUUCAUCUUGAACUGGAAUAAGGACGAACAGUUCUUUACCUUAAUGUACAAAUUUUAAAAAUUUGUUGUGGUUAUGAGGG